rnacentral:tRNA from 1 species
UGGCCUAGUGGUUAAGGCUACGGAUCGCCAAUCCGGAAAUGGCGGGUUCGAUUCCCGU